CCUUCUUCCACUCUUCUGCUGAAAAGGCUUCCCCCCCUUUUUCACCGGACUCUAAAACUGGUCUAGAACCGCCACUGCUGCUCUGGCUCCCAAAUGGUGGAACGAGCUCCCCACAGACAUCAGGACCUCAGUCAAAAAAUCUCCUCACAGGAUUCUCCGGCUCCAGGAAUGGGCUGUGUGCUUCUCUUCUUCCAAGAAACCAAAACCAACUGCCAACUUUCCUCCCAGCAGAUUCGUCCUGUAGCAGCCAGCUCUCUACACACGUGCAUUCCAUCACCCGUACUACCAGACAAUACAGUUUGCAGGA